UUUACUCUUUUUUUUCCACGUGAAGCUUAUUAAAAAUGGUGUUUUAUUACCCGGGGACCAUAAAUUAAAUUGAUUUUUGGAACUAGGAGAUGGAAUAGGGGCUUGCUCUGUCCGCUCCACGCAUCGACCUGGUAUUGCAGUACCUCCAGGAACGGUGCACCCCCC
ensembl:snRNA U2 U2 spliceosomal RNA